rnacentral:rRNA from 1 species
GAAACGAUGGGAGCUUGCUCCCAGGCGUCGAGCGGCGGACGGGUGAGUAACACUUAGGAAUCUACCUAGUAGUGGGGGAUAGCUCGGGGAAACUCGAAUUAAUACCGCAUACGACCUACGGGAGAAAGGGGGCAGUUUACUGCUCUCGCUAUUAGAUGAGCCUAAGUCGGAUUAGCUAGAUGGUGGGGUAAAGGCCUACCAUGGCGACGAUCUGUAGCUGGUCUGAGAGGAUGAUCAGCCACACCGGGACUGAGACACGGCCCGGACUCCUACGGGAGGCAGCAGUGGGGAAUAUUGGACAAUGGGGGGAACCCUGAUCCAGCCAUGCCGCGUGUGUGAAGAAGGCCUUUUGGUUGUAAAGCACUUUAAGCAGUGAAGAAGACCUAACGGUUAAUACCCGUUAGCGAUGACAUUAGCUGCAGAAUAAGCACCGGCUAACUCUGUGCCAGCAGCCGCGGUAAUACAGAGGGUGCAAGCGUUAAUCGGAAUUACUGGGCGUAAAGCGAGCGUAGGUGGCUUGAUAAGUCAGAUGUGAAAUCCCCGGGCUUAACCUGGGAACUGCAUCUGAUACUGUUAAGCUAGAGUAGGUGAGAGGGAAGUAGAAUUCCAGGUGUAGCGGUGAAAUGCGUAGAGAUCUGGAGGAAUACCGAUGGCGAAGGCAGCUUCCUGGCAUCAUACUGACACUGAGGCUCGAAAGCGUGGGUAGCAAACAGGAUUAGAUACCCUGGUAGUCCACGCCGUAAACGAUGUCUACUAGUCGUUGGGUCCCUUGAGGACUUAGUGACGCAGCUAACGCAAUAAGUAGACCGCCUGGGGAGUACGGCCGCAAGGUUAAAACUC